GGUUAAGCGACUAAGCGUACACGGUGGAUGCCCUGGCAGUCAGAGGCGAUGAAGGACGUGCUAAUCUGCGAAAAGCGCCGGCGAGGUGAUAUGAACCUUUGACCCGGCGAUGUCCGAAUGGGGAAACCCAGUGUGUUCCGACACACUAUCGUUAACUGAAUACAUAGGUUAACGAGGCGAACCGGGGGAACUGAAACAUCUAAGUACCCCGAGGAAAAGAAAUCAACCGAGAUUCCCCCAGUAGCGGCGAGCGAACGGGGAGCAGCCCAGAGUCUGAAUCAGCUUGUGUGUUAGUGGAAGCGUCUGGAAAGUCGCACGGUACAGGGUGACAGUCCCGUACACGAAAAUGCACAGGUUGUGAACUCGAAGAGUAGGGCGGGACACGUGGUAUCCUGUCUGAAUAUGGGGGGACCAUCCUCCAAGGCUAAAUACUCCUGACUGACCGAUAGUGAACCAGUACCGUGAGGGAAAGGCGAAAAGAACCCCGGCGAGGGGAGUGAAAAAGAACCUGAAACCGUGUACGUACAAGCAGUGGGAGCACCUUCGUGGUGUGACUGCGUACCUUUUGUAUAAUGGGUCAGCGACUUAUAUUCUGUAGCAAGGUUAACCGUAUAGGGGAGCCGAAGGGAAACCGAGUCUUAACUGGGCGUUAAGUUGCAGGGUAUAGACCCGAAACCCGGUGAUCUAGCCAUGGGCAGGUUGAAGGUUGGGUAACACUAACUGGAGGACCGAACCGACUAAUGUUGAAAAAUUAGCGGAUGACUUGUGGCUGGGGGUGAAAGGCCAAUCAAACCGGGAGAUAGCUGGUUCUCCCCGAAAGCUAUUUAGGUAGCGCCUCGUGAACUCAUCUUCGGGGGUAGAGCACUGUUUCGGCUAGGGGGCCAUCCCGGCUUACCAACCCGAUGCAAACUACGAAUACCGAAGAAUGUUAUCACGGGAGACACACGGCGGGUGCUAACGUCCGUCGUGAAGAGGGAAACAACCCAGACCGCCAGCUAAGGUCCCAAAGUCAUGGUUAAGUGGGAAACGAUGUGGGAAGGCACAGACAGCCAGGAUGUUGGCUUAGAAGCAGCCAUCAUUUAAAGAAAGCGUAAUAGCUCACUGGUCGAGUCGGCCUGCGCGGAAGAUGUAACGGGGCUAAACCAUGCACCGAAGCUGCGGCAGCGACACUAUGUGUUGUUGGGUAGGGGAGCGUUCUGUAAGCCGUUGAAGGUGGCCUGUGAGGGUUGCUGGAGGUAUCAGAAGUGCGAAUGCUGACAUAAGUAACGAUAAAGCGGGUGAAAAGCCCGCUCGCCGGAAGACCAAGGGUUCCUGUCCAACGUUAAUCGGGGCAGGGUGAGUCGACCCCUAAGGCGAGGCCGAAAGGCGUAGUCGAUGGGAAACAGGUUAAUAUUCCUGUACUUGGUGUUACUGCGAAGGGGGGACGGAGAAGGCUAUGUUAGCCGGGCGACGGUUGUCCCGGUUUAAGCAUGUAGGCGGAACGAUUAGGUAAAUCCGGUCGUUUUUUAACGCUGAGGUGUGAUGACGAGGCACUACGGUGCUGAAGUAACAAAUGCCCUGCUUCCAGGAAAAGCCUCUAAGCAUCAGGUAACAUCAAAUCGUACCCCAAACCGACACAGGUGGUCAGGUAGAGAAUACCAAGGCGCUUGAGAGAACUCGGGUGAAGGAACUAGGCAAAAUGGUGCCGUAACUUCGGGAGAAGGCACGCUGAUAUGUAGGUGAAGCCCCUGCGGGUGGAGCUGAAAUCAGUCGAAGAUACCAGCUGGCUGCAACUGUUUAUUAAAAACACAGCACUGUGCAAACACGAAAGUGGACGUAUACGGUGUGACGCCUGCCCGGUGCCGGAAGGUUAAUUGAUGGGGUUAGCGGCAACGCGAAGCUCUUGAUCGAAGCCCCGGUAAACGGCGGCCGUAACUAUAACGGUCCUAAGGUAGCGAAAUUCCUUGUCGGGUAAGUUCCGACCUGCACGAAUGGCGUAAUGAUGGCCAGGCUGUCUCCACCCGAGACUCAGUGAAAUUGAACUCGCUGUGAAGAUGCAGUGUACCCGCGGCAAGACGGAAAGACCCCGUGAACCUUUACUAUAGCUUGACACUGAACACUGGUCCUUGAUGUGUAGGAUAGGUGGGAGGCUUUGAAGUGUGGACGCCAGUCUGCAUGGAGCCGUCCUUGAAAUACCACCCUUUAAUGGCUGGUGUUCUAACGUAGACCCGUGAUCCGGGUUGCGGACAGUGUCUGGUGGGUAGUUUGACUGGGGCGGUCUCCUCCCAAAGAGUAACGGAGGAGCACGAAGGUUAGCUAAUCCUGGUCGGACAUCAGGAGGUUAGUGCAAUGGCAUAAGCUAGCUUGACUGCGAGAGUGACGGCUCGAGCAGGUGCGAAAGCAGGUCAUAGUGAUCCGGUGGUUCUGAAUGGAAGGGCCAUCGCUCAACGGAUAAAAGGUACUCCGGGGAUAACAGGCUGAUACCGCCCAAGAGUUCAUAUCGACGGCGGUGUUUGGCACCUCGAUGUCGGCUCAUCACAUCCUGGGGCUGAAGUAGGUCCCAAGGGUAUGGCUGUUCGCCAUUUAAAGUGGUACGCGAGCUGGGUUUAGAACGUCGUGAGACAGUUCGGUCCCUAUCUGCCGUGGGCGCUGGAGAAUUGAGGGGGGCUGCUCCUAGUACGAGAGGACCGGAGUGGACGCAUCACUGGUGUUCGGGUUGUCAUGCCAAUGGCACUGCCCGGUAGCUAAAUGCGGAAAAGAUAAGUGCUGAAAGCAUCUAAGCACGAAACUUGCCCCGAGAUGAGUUCUCCCUGAGACUUUAAGUCUCCUGAAGGAACGUUGAAGACGACGACGUUGAUAGGUCGGGUGUGUAAGCGCAGCGAUGCGUUGAGCUAACCGAUACUAAUGAACCGUGAGGCUUAACCUU
rnacentral:rRNA from 1 species